CACGUAGUUAGCCGGUGCUUAUUCUUCCGGUACCGUCAUCCGCCACGGGUAUUAACCACGGCGUUUCUUUCCGGACAAAAGUGCUUUACAACCCGAAGGCCUUCUUCACACACGCGGCAUUGCUGGAUCAGGGUUGCCCCCAUUGUCCAAAAUUCCCCACUGCUGCCUCCCGUAGGAGUCUGGGCCGUGUCUCAGUCCCAGUGUGGCUGGUCGUCCUCUCAGACCAGCUACAGAUCGUCGCCUUGGUAGGCCUUUACCCCACCAACUAGCUAAUCUGCCAUCGGCCGCCCCUGUAGCGGGAGGUCCUAAGAUCCCCCCCUUUCCUCCGUAGAGCGUAUGCGGUAUUAAUCCGGCUUUCGCCGGGCUAUCCCCACUACAGGACACGUUCCGAUGUAUUACUCACCCGUUCGCCACUCGCCACCAGGGUUGCCCCCGUGCUGCCGUUCGACUUGCAUGUGUAAGGCAUGCCGCCAGCGUUCAAUCUGAGCCAGGAUCAAACUCU
rnacentral:rRNA from 1 species